ensembl:lncRNA
CUUCUUUCUGCUUAAUGCGGUGUCAGCUGGGGACCAGAUCUAACUCAUUUCCUAGUAGCAUACUGAAAUAGUUUUCCAUGAGAAGUGCUGCAGUUUUUUAUUGCACACAUACAAUCCUUUGUUGAGAUUAUAAUUGUUUCCUACCAUCAGUGAUUCUUCUUUUUUUUCUUGCUGUACUUUCCAGCUCUCAGUAUUGUUCUGUGUCUCGGAACUGCAGGUUUUCCACAAAAGAAAAUUCGGUUGUGUCAAGGUGAUGGUGUGGUUAUUGUUUUUCUUUGGGCAUGGGCCAAACCACGCAGAUGGCAUACUAGGACGAGCCUGUGCCUCUUCCUGUCAUGAUGCUGAUAAGUCCAUAGUCAACACUGUCAUUCCUUUUGUAACAUUUUUAUAAGCUCCCUUCCACUUCAGCAUUAGGAGACUCAGCUCUACGCUCUCCAGGUAUUCCCUCUUGGUUCAUAACGUCUCUCGUCAUUCUCCCGUAAUGGAAGGAGACCAAUGGUUUUGUUGCCAACUCUUCGAGAAGAUCAGAGGAGCGACUGGGAAAUCUGUCUUCCAUGGAAAAGAGGAAAGAUGCUAAGGGACAGGAUGUACCCUCCUUGACAGUGUGGUCAAACAGCCAGCUUCCUCACUUGUCCCUAAAGAGCUCUCAGACAACUGUCUAGAAAAGUGCACAGUAUCCCCAGCUGUUAACAGCAGGAUAUACUGCAGCACUCCAGACUGCUGCUGCCAUGUCGUUUCAGUGCCUCCGGGGUCAGCUCAGUGUAUUAAAUUAACAGUUUUCCCAGGCAAUGCAAAAUGUCUGUGAACAGAAUGGUGCAGCAUAAUAAUGGGAUACAAGGGGAAGAUACCUGCUUAAAUAUGAAAUGUUUUGGUAAGAGCAGGAGAUGUUGAAGUGGUUCUGACUUACAUGACUUAGUGCCAAACACACGUUGUCACGCAGCAGUCCCAGCACGCUGUGUCUGUUCACCACCACUUCACAUUUUCAUAGCUUAUUUUAGAACAGUUGCAUUUUUUUUUCCAUCCUUAAUAAUUUAUGAGCUUAGAAUUAUCGAUAACGUGAAGCUUCAUUAUAAACUAUCAGGAGGAUUCUCAUCUGACUCGUCCCAUUAAAUUAUUAUUCCCAAACAUGAUUUAUAUUUAAUAAGACAUCAAUUGAACAUCAGUAAAAAUAAUAAUUAUGAACUAUAUCUUCAUAGAAAUACCAAUAGCUUAAAGACAAGCAAAUGCUGUGUACGGUCUGCAGGUCAGCUGUCAAACCUCUCUGAGAAUAUUUGUCUGUUUAGUAUUUAGAAUAUGAUAGUAAACCACAAAGAUAUAUUGCUGUGGUCUUCAGCUGAUUCUUGUGACAACUGUGGACCACGCCAAACCAUGAACCUGUAAGGCAGAACUGGGAAGUAACAAAGUGUUCUGUGUAGGUGAGGAGGUAAUCUCAAAACACUACAAAUGCCCAAGCAACUUCACGUUUCCACAAACAAAAUGUCAGAAGAAUUUUGGUUUGGGUAAUUUUUUUCUUUAACAUGAUCUACUGGAUUGAAAUGCUCUAUUUCUCCAUACAGAAAGUCAAAAUAAACAAUUUUACUGAUUGAAACUUCUGCCUAAAAACACAUUAAAAUAGCCUAAAGUUCAACAGUGUCAUUUGAGUCUUCUGUUCUAACAAACUAUUGCUCCACAGGACAAACUUCAUCAAAUAUUUGUAUUCAGAAAGAAGUGACAUUACUUCAUCCCAGGGAAUUGCAGCAAAGGCCCUUAAUCCUACUGCACCUUAUAGCAUUGCAGUAGUGGUUAUCACUCAUCAGGGACCACUUCUGUUUACAUUUCCUCAGCUUACACACAUCCCACAUGAGUCUUAAUGGAGGAGGAGAAAGGACAGGAGAAAAAGUUUUUCUGGAUUUUCUUCUUCAUUUCUAGUUUUUAUUUCUUACUUUCCUGUUCUGUUCAAAUUUCAUCAGGGAUGGAACAAAAGCUUCAGAUGGACAAGGUGACCACAUUGUCAGUAUCACACUUACCUUUGUCCAGGUUCAUUGGGAAGGAUUUACUCCCUGCUCCCUCAGACCCUCACUUAUGUAGGAUUUACACAAGGGCAGUGAUUGCACGUUCUGGAAGAAAGCCAAAAGACGUUACUGUCCUUCAGUGACAGCUUGAUGGUUUUUAAUAUUCGUUGGAUCUCCUUUUCAUCCACUGCACAUGCCUUUUUUAACUGCUCACGUCCACUAUUUGGCUUCUCCAUUACACAACCAAGGAUUAUAAGGGCAGCUGUCCUCUAAUGUAAAACACGAGUUGACACAAACAUUGCAGUCUCUUUAAAACUUUAAAGCCCCUUGAGCUUGAGAUAUUUACAGCUCUACAGAGAUGUGCUAUUCAAACCCCAGCAAAGAAAGGUUUCAGUUUAACUUUCUUAAAACAUUAAGAGCUGAUGGAACCAUAAAGACAUUCUGGUCUGACCUCCUACAUCGUGUUUUUACUCAGUCACUUCCAUCUCGAUCCCCCGAACAUACUGAGACAAAUACACCUUUCUGAAAGGCUUGAUAUCUUAAUCUGCACCUGAAAAAUCUAUUACUCUACCACCAGUUCACACUAGCAUUAUUACCUCACACUCCAAAGCACAAUUGAGAA